UCGUCACAGCCGAUCAUGGGGCUGCCGUCGUCCGGCUUGUUGCACCCGGGGCAGAUCCAGAUCUGAUUCCCCCACUCAUCUCGGAUCUGAGGUGUUUAAGGGGCGCAGGGGGGGGGGGAGCAAAGCCAAGGUAAUGGGGAGAAAGAACCAAAAAGAGGGCAACAUAAGAACGAUUACACCGUGAACCUAAUAAACAAGUUAAACGAAAAAGCAAAAAAGUGGCUUGGCAAUGUCUGAAGGGCGUGAUCGUGGCCACCAUCACCCCGGGACCUACAGGAGGCUGAAGGGAGCCACUAAGCACCAAGGAGAAGACCCUUCUAACGAGUAUUUUAAAGUCUCUUUGUAAAGCACAACAACCAAAGGGCAAAUACAAGGAGGGAUGCAGGAGGCCAGCGAGCUACACAUUUUCACAUUAUUCUGCUGGAAAUGCGGUGUGGCCUGGAGGUUGCUUACUGAGCAGUUCCCAGGAAGAAGCCUCCCUAAUUAUAUCACUGCCGCAAAUUCCACGUUCACAAAACCAGUUUGGAAGAAACAAAUCUAUAAUGAACCUUCAAGAAGCAGCAACGACCGCUAGCUAAUUCUCAGAAGUUUUUACAGUAAUGCGGCCAGUGGUGUCGAGUUGAUUCUGCAGGUGCUGUCUGUUCCUACACUUUCCGAUACAACCCUGACUACAGAGGCAGAAAGGGGGGCUCUGUCGUGGGGGAACAGAGGUCUCAUUCCGUUGGUGGGCUCUCUGAAGGCUGACCAGGUUUGGAAAAGUCUCUGCUGAAGGCAAACUACAGCGGCCCGGAAGCUUUCCAAAGACACCUGCCGGCAGCCCCACCCGACACACCCCCUCUAACGCUACGGGGAGAGAACGCCGUUACCGCAGGCCUGCUCUCUGGGGCUCAGCCUGGUCCAGCACCGUAUGCCCCGGGGCUGCCAUGUGUGGCCGGCCUGACUGGCUGGCUGGCCUCUCUUGAAAUUAGCAGCCGUGACUCUGCAGCCGCUGAGCAACCUGCCAUGGCGUCCACCUGCAGCCAGCGCGCUGAGUUCUUCCAGACAUCUCUGACUUCGGCCAGCCAGCCAGAAACCACCCCCGGGGAGGUUAAGGAUGGGGGGGCUGGAGCCAGGGGAACACAAGUGACAGUUCCAAAGUCCCACUGCGAGGCAGUCACAAAAAUCAGCCUUUUGGCUCUAUUGCCUGUUUUUCCUCCAAAUCACAUGUUUUGGCCUCUGUCGACAAAAUGUCGCUGAGGAGAUACAAGGCUUUUCUUCCAUGUUAUCUAUGCCAAUCAGAUUCAGCUGCAGGGAGUGGGCGCGAAAACCCACCGGAACCGGAAGCUAGGCCAUGACAUCCUGUGCCGGUCAUCUCCUCUGACUCAAACCCUCUAAUUAUGGCUGAAGCCGUGGAGAUCAAAGAGAGUGACUCCAGGCUUGGGUAAGCCCAUAUUACAAUGGGGAAAACGCCUGGGAACGGUCCCAUGACAGUGACCGGAACUCAUUCAACGAGGGAGUGCUGCCAUUGGGAGACAGGCUUGGAUACCCCAGGAGGCUCUGUCCCAGGUUCAUUUCCAUGGACCACGCGAGCCGUGGCGGCCUCCCACCUUGCGCGGCCAAGUGCGGCGGGCACUACCCGGAGACUGCGUGCGGCCCGGGAGGUCCGGGGACCUUACGUACACGACAGUCUCACGUGAGUAACUUAAUUGCUGGAUGGAGACCGCCAACGUGGAAUUUAAAUCACCGUUUCUCCACACUCCCCCCUGCCGUCCUGGGACAGAAUAAAACAGCAUACAUGGAAGGAAA